AAGUGACUAACGGGAACUUGUUAUCGCUCACACCAUUCCCAAUGAAUCAUCUGGCAAUAUGCGCCUUGUUUUUAACAACAUAUGUGGACUAUAAACCUUUGAAGAUGACAUUCACCUAUUUCAGUAGGAAACUCCUGGACUUUACCCCGGAAUAUUUUUUGUCGUUUAAAAGUUACUUUUAAACCAAAGGCCAUUGGAUGAGAUAAACUGUUUAUUAAUACAUGUGUAACCGAACUGUUCAACACGUGAACCCAUACGCAUGUAAUAUACCUAUUGUACAAACACCAAUUGAUAAAAAAGAACCUUGAACCAUUAUAAGAAGAUAUACCUGUACUUAUGUUAUAACCAUUAUCAGGUGUCGAAGUUGACGUAAGUCUUUUCUGUCUUUACCAUUUACUACUUAGUCAAUAAAUUCAGUCGCAGAUUGAAUUCGCAUGUUUUUAUUUGGAUUUUCUAUCUUUAAUGCAUUUAAUUUGUUGUACAUUUGCAGAUAAUCGAACCUAUUUGAAACCAUUUGAAGAAUCUCUGAACAGAAAAUAUAAGAAAUGGUGAGUCGAAAGAUAAUAAAAUUUUAAUCCAGAUCAAUAGACAACUAUGUACAUGUAACUUAUCUAUUUAUAUGCUACACAAUUUGAUGUAUUUUGUUUUUAUCAUUUUACGGAAUACUAGUUAUUACAUUGCUUCUUUCAAAUCACAACCCUCAGAAUAACAUCAUAUUGCUGUUCAGAAAAUUUUGGGUAAUUUAAGUAAAAUACAACAAUUCUAAUUUCCUUGUUUUGCUCUAAAAUAUGUUGUAAAUACUCAGGACAAAUGCGGCGUUUGAAUUACUUUUUUAACGCAUUCGUUGAUCACUGCAACCCAAUUAUUAUACGGUUAAGAAAACUGCAAUAGUGUUUAAUAAUUUCAUGGCACCACACUCUUGUUUUAAUAAAUUUAUGCAUCUGUUCAAGUUAAGAUUAUAUAAAUAUACUAUAUCCAUUUAUCAGUUCAGCCGGGUUUAUUAGUUAUCGGUUUUUAUCGGCGAGUCGAGAUUAUAUUUUGAUUUAAAUUAAGACAUCCAAGGUCGGAUGUCUGUCUCUGGGAAGGUCACACGAGUAGAAGUACAAAUUGUCGAGUACAAGUCUAUAAAAUAAAUUGCCUAUAUGUAUAACAAUAGUUCGGUUAAGUUCUAUCAUGGUCUCUGGUCCUAACAACAACCCUGCAAAACUCAGGAUUCAGUGACAGAUCCAAAAUUUUUUAUAAAGGGUGAAAAAGGGGGUAGGUAAAAAAAAGGGGGGGUGGGGCGCACUGACUACUUAAGGGGGUCGGGUCUGCUCCAGACAUGUCGCAGUGACUCCCUAUAUAAUCAACCAAAUUUACCUCACAAAAAGAUUGGCCCGGGCACCUUAAUCCUUAAUCCGCCUCUGGGAUUGUGAACAGGUCUGAUCAAGAUCCAUCGAAGAAUAUUUGAAAAAAGUCAAUAUGAAAAUAAAAAGAUGUCAGGUCAUUUUAGGGCCAAAAACCUAAAUAAGGAGUCAAUUACCGAUUUCAACAACUUUUUUCUUGUAGAUCUUGUCUUACUGGUGAUUUAAGAUGUAAUUUACAGUUUCUCUCUAUCUGGUACAAAAAUGAUUUGAAACAGUAAUUCGGUCAAGAAUUAUCAUUUAUGAGCAGUAACUAUAAGAAAUCGAUCCUCAAAUUCAAUUUUAUGUAAUUAUGUUACCAUUUCUAUUUAUGGAUUUUAAGACUAAAGCAACGAAUUCCAAACAAUGAAGAUUUCUACACAAACAAUAAAUCCUUAGGUCUAUAUUUAUAACCAGAAAAAAGAUGCAGUAUUGUCACCAUACUUUAUAGCCAGACAGUACAAGUUACAAAGCAAGUUUUUUUUUUUUUUUUUUAUUUAUUUCUUAAUGUUUAUAAAUUGUCUUCCAACUAAUUUCCUAUUUAAAACAUUUUAUUUAUUUUUCAUUACAGGCAAGUGGAUUUUUUAGAACAAUUGCAAGAUGGGCUGUAUUUAUCGUGAUCCUAGGUUGGCAUUUAUUCCGAGAUUUAGUGGGAUACGUUAUACCAGCAUUGAAACCAACACCAGAUAAUGGAGCAUUGAAGUCAUCAUGAAACUAAAUCAAAACUUUUCCAUCACAAUUUAAAAGCAUUAUCAUUUUUGUAUGUAUUAAAGCAUAAUAACAAAUAAAUUUUAUAAACAUUUUGUAUGAAGAAACAAACAGAUUUCAGUUAUUUAGUAAAUGUCAAAGAGACACCAACCCAACAACAUGAAAUACAAAAGAAAUCUAGUGGUUACAUGUAGUACAUUGAACAAUUUCUAAAAAUGCUUUUCAAAUAACAUUUUGAAGUCAUCUCUUCAUUUGUCAUUUCGGG
rnacentral:lncRNA from 1 species